rnacentral:rRNA from 1 species
GACGAACGCUGGCGGCGUGCUUAACACAUGCAAGUCGAACGCUGAAGCUCAGCUUUUGUUGGGUGGAUGAGUGGCGAACGGGUGAGUAACACGUGAGUAACCUGCCCCCUUCUUUGGGAUAACGCCCGGAAACGGGUGCUAAUACUGGAUAUUCACUGGUCUUCGCAUGGGGGUUGGUGGAAAGGGUUUUUCUGGUGGGGGAUGGGCUCGCGGCCUAUCAGCUUGUUGGUGGGGUGAUGGCCUAUCAAGGCUUUGACGGGUAGCCGGCCUGAGAGGGUGACCGGUCACAUUGGGACUGAGAUACGGCCCAGACUCCUACGGGAGGCAGCAGUGGGGAAUAUUGCACAAUGGGCGCAAGCCUGAUGCAGCGACGCCGCGUGAGGGAUGGAGGCCUUCGGGUUGUGAACCUCUUUCGCUCAUGGUCAAGCCGCAACAAUGGUUGUGGUGAGGGUAGUGGGUAAAGAAGCGCCGGCUAACUACGUG